rnacentral:rRNA from 1 species
CAUUAAGCCGUCUGUGGUCGUGCAUGGGCACUAGAACCGGGCCAGGUGACCGCCGCUUCUCGCCAUGGACGGCAUGGAGUUCUUCUUCGAGGAUUCUGGAGCUGGGCUCGUGCCGCGCUUGGACGGCGGUGACGUCCUACGAGAUUUAGUUGCCGGCGUGGACCUGCCUGGUGGCGGCACCAGUUGGAGUGCUGACGCUGACGAGGUCUUGUCUUCUUCUCUGCCGAUGGGGCUAGUCGGAGGACUGAAGGAUUAUGAAGGGCGCGAGGAUACGGGUGAAACAAUGCUCACUCGGAGGGGGCGCGGCUCGUCUGAUCUUGGCGGCGAAGGUGUGGGCGACUCCUGCGAGAUAGGCGAUACAGAAGUUGCAUCUGGCGUCGAGGAUAACGAUACAGUCGAAGAGGGCGUCGCAGUGUCAAACGCAAAUCAGUCUUGUUGGACCAAGAGGGUUAGAGUUGGGAAAGUGGCUGAUGUGAGGGAGCCUAGCUCUUCGAGGAUGACUGCCCUUGAAGCUUCUGUCCGUGCAUUUGUCGAUAAAAAAUCUAGAAAUGUUGUCAAUCCGUCUAUUGGGACUAGCUUUGAUUCUGUCGAAGAGGGCUACGAGUUUUACAAUCUGUAUUCAUGGGAGGUCGGUUUUGGUGUCCGCUAUGCAAAAAGCCGUUUGAAUGUACACCAGAAAAAGUGCAUGCAAGAGAUAGUGUGUGCCUGUGCGGGUAAGCCAUUGCAGGCCAACAGUCGGUCAACGAGGUGUGGCUGCAAUGCCAUGAUAAGACUGCUGAGGUCGGAUGAUGGUGGAUGGUAUGUAUGUGAGCACAAGUCCGAGCACAACCAUGCUUUAUCUGUCAUUUGUGGAGAGAAAUUGCACUGGAAGUCGCACCGACACAUAGAUACCUAUACGAGGGACCUGGUUAAGCAGUUGAGAGAGAAUAAUAUCAGCAUUAGCAAGGUGUAUAGUGUUGUAGGGAGUUUUUUUGGCACGAUUAGGGACGUGCCAUUCACGAAACGGUCCUUAAAAACACUAUGUGAAAAACUGAACCAGGAACAGUCGCUAAAUGAUGCAACAAAAACCAUAGAUGUGUUCAACGACAUGCGGGCAGAGGACCCAGAAUUUAAAUACAGUGUCCAGGUGGACACCGAGGGCAGAAUUAAGACACUGAUGUGGGCAACUGGUAGAGGCAUUGAGCAGUUCAAGUGUUUCGGUGAUGUUGUGACAUUUGAUACGACCUAUAAGACAUUCCUGUACGACAUGCCAUUUGGCCUAUUUGUUGGUGUUAACAAUCAUUUCCAGAGUGUCAUUUUUGGAGGUGUACUGAUGAGUGAUGAGAAGGUGGAGACUUUCAAGUGGAUAUUCACAGAGUUCUUCCAAAUGCUAGCAGCGCCACAGCCUAAAACUAUCUUAACAGGUAACACAGCCUGCGUAAAAACAGAAAAAGAACUGCGCAUUGAUUUACAUCAAUAUGCUGCGAUCCGUCUUAUAGGUAUAAAAGUUUAAUGCUCUUGCUUGAUUUUCUAUAUUGUUGAUACAUACCAAGCUCGUUCGAUGGAAAUUGCAAUAGUUGACGUGAUGCCGUGGACUGUACAUCGUUGGUGCAAAUGGCAUGUACUGAAGAAAGCAAAGGAGAGCCUUGGAGCACUGCUUGCAAAGGGGAGUGAAUUCAAGCCAGAGCAGCAAACUAGUCCACCACGCAGUUAGUAUUGAUGAGUUCGAGAAUGGGUGGGCUUGCAUGUUGGAGAAAUAUGGGCUACAAAAAAAUGCAUUCCUGACCCAGCUGUAUGAGGUGAGGGGGAAGUGGGCAAAGCCAUAAUUUAUGGGUGUAUUCCGUGCGAAAAUGACAAGCACGCAAUGAAGCGAGAGUGCAAACCACCUUCUGAAAGGAUAUGUGCCACUGGGGUGCCCCAUGCACUUGUUCAUCAGGCAAUAUGAGAAGAUGCAAUUUGACCGCGAUUCCGAAGAAAGUUACCAAGAGAAAAGGACAAAACUGGGUGGGGUUGUCCUGAAGCAAAAUAUCCCAAUUGAGGUACAUGCGUCGGAGGUGUACAUCAGGACAAUGUUUGAGAAAUUUGGUGAAGUGUUGUAUGGAUGUGGAUCUUAUGACCUAAUAGAAGUCAAGCCACGCUUGGAGUACAUUGCUAGGCACAUCAAAUUUCAGUCAAAGGAAAAAUGGUGCAAGAACGAGUUUGUGAUCACUGUGAGCGAGGCAGCCGACGAGUUCAAGUGUGAGUGUGGGACGUCUGAGCACUAUGGAAUGGUGUGCAGCCAUGCACUUAAGGUGAUGAUACACCUAAAACUGCGUGAGCUCCCUGUGAAGCAUGUGCUGAAGCGAUGGACAAAAGACGCGACAGAUAUACUGCCGCCAGAGUAUUUGCGCUACCAAAAGGAUCAUGGGCCGCUCAAGUAUUCCUCUCGCCGACACAACACUUUAUACCUCUUGGCGCUGGAUGUUGUUAAGUUAGGUGACAGCAAUGUGGAAGCAUAUGCUCUUGCUGAGGAAAAACUGCGACAUGUCAAAGUGCAGCUGGAGCCAGUUGCUGCUGUGAGGGAUGGACUUGGGUUGUUUGAUAAGGAGCUGGCCGCAGAUUCAGCGGGUUCCGGCGUUGGUAACAAGCAGCACUUUGGUCGACCUGAGUCUGAGCACACCAUUUCACAGGGAUCGGAUGUGUUCCCAGCUGCAUCAAAGAAGCGGCCGGCUGGGCGCCCUACAACCAGCCGUGACAAGGCUCCAUAUGAACAACCAUCAAAGAGGACUAGGUUUUGUUCAAUAUGCAGACUUCAGGGGCACAAGAGCACGACAUGCCCUGCAAGGGGUGAUGUGCCAAAGGCGCCCCGGAAAUCUCCUCGCUGCUCAAAAUGUGGUUUGACCGGGCAUAGGAAGAACACAUGCAGCAACCCCCCGAAAGUAUGAAAAUUCAGAAAUUUUAGUGUUUUUUUCGUUGUUAUCCUGAUGGUAUGCAUUUGUCUAUGUGACCCCUCUGCUGUUAGAAGCCAUACCUAAUUUGAACAUCUAGAAAAGCGAGGGUCGUGCACUGUGUCUGGCACUAUCUGUUUGCUUAUGAUGUCGACUCAUCUCAGGCUGUUGACACAUUUGUUUAAUUUCCUGUCUUAAGUCAAUUAGAAAAAAAUCGUGUGUUGUGGGCAAGCUAUUAAGAUUCUCAUUAAUAUUUCAUAUCUUUCAAUGUUGAC